CGACCUACGGGGGGCAGCAGUAGGGAAUCUUCCACAAUGGGCGAAAGCCUGAUGGAGCAACGCCGCGUGGGUGAAGAAGGUCUUCGGAUCGUAAAACCCUGUUGUUAGAGAAGAAAGUGCGUGAGAGUAACUGUUCACGUUUCGACGGUAUCUAACCAGGAAGCCACGGCUAACUACGUGCCAGCAGCCGCGGUAAUACGUAGGUGGCAAGCGUUAUCCGGAUUUAUUGGGCGUAAAGGGAGCGCAGGCGGGACUGCAAGUUGGAUGUGAAAUACCGCAGCUUAACUGCGGAGCUGCAUCCAAAA
rnacentral:rRNA from 1 species